rnacentral:rRNA from 1 species
AGACUUGCCCGCGGGUGAUCAACCGGUAUUCUUACCGGUGCACUCGCCCGUGGUCAGGCCAGCAUCGGUUUGGGCGGCUGGAUAAAGUCCACUGGAAUGUAGCUCCUCUCGGGGAGUGUUAUAGCCAGAGGUGCCAUGCAGCCCGCCCGGACCGAGGACCGCGCUUCGGCUAGGAUGCUGGCGUAAUGGUUGUAAGCGACCCGUCUUGAAACACGGACCAAGGAGUCUAACAUCUAUGCGAGUGUUUGGGUGUCAAACCCAUGCGCGUAAUGAAAGUGAACGGAGGUGGGAACCCUCAAGGGUGCACCAUCGACCGAUCCUGAUGUCUUCGGAUGGAUUUGAGUAAGAGCAUAGCUGUUGGGACCCGAAAGAUGGUGAACUAUGCCUGAAUAGGGUGAAGCCAGAGGAAACUCUGGUGGAGGCUCGCAGCGGUUCUGACGUGCAAAUCGAUCGUCAAAUUUGGGUAUAGGGGCGAAAGACUAAUCGAACCAUCUGCUACUAGAUGGCAUACGGGCCGCGUGCCCCAGUAGUCCCCGUGCGGCGGGGGCGACAUCGUCGGUCUCUUCGGGAACGCCUCCGGGCUACCCGCAGUGAGCCUCGGGCUCAUCCACAGACUAAGUGGCGGUGGCCGUGCCCUGGAGCACGGUUAGG